ensembl:lncRNA
CUCUGAACCAUGAUACCGCUGGCAUGAUAACAAUUUUAAUGCCUCGUGAGUGACACAUCUCCUUGAAUUGUCAGUUUUCAUUAUGUCAAAUUCUCCCCUUGGUAACAAGGGUCUGAAAUUAACUUGAGUAACACAAUCCUUCAUGCUGACCUUCGUUUGCAUUGCUUAAAAAUAAUGUUCAGUGGUGUAGCCUAAUGUUGAUUACAAAAGAAGCAUCUAGACUCAUUCCUGAUUUUAGUUUAAAAAAGAAGAUAUGUCCCUAAAUCAUCCUUUUUGAGCUGAGAAUACUUUAAGUAAAUGUUAAAUAAGUAAAGUUAAUCUAGUUAUGCAUUACCAACAUAAUUACUGUGGAAUUUGCUUCAAAUAAGCAGUCAUUUGCGGAUAGUUAUGUCAUGUCUGUUUCUGGUAUCCAUGGUAUUCAUGUAAAUGUGAUCUGUUUUAAUGGCUUUACAUGGUCAUUGAAGUUGAAUGAUUGGAUUUAACUUUACUCAUGCAAGGCCAGUCACAAUGUUACACUAGAUAACUUCUAAAGGAUUUUAACAGUAAUGAGUGAAUAGUCUUUUUGAAUGAGCCAUUGAUUUGUUCAACUGUUUUGUUCAAAAACACUGACUCUAUCAGGAAUUAAAUAGUGAUAUCUUAAUGAGUGAGUCACUGAAUCAGCUCAACUGAUUUGUUCAGAAACACUCAGUUAGGAACAAAACACAGCUACUGUGCAUUGCUGAGUCUAAAUAAACAAAAUAGCACAAUAUUGUACCUAAAAUUUAAAGGGAUACUCCACCCCAAAAUGAAAAUUUUGUCAUUAAUCACUUACCCCCAUCCUCCAGGUUUUCAUCCAAAAUAUCUUAAAUUGUGUUCUGAAGACGAAUGGAGCUUUUACGGGUUUGGAACGACAUGGGGGUAAGUGAAUCAUUUUGGGGUGGAGUAUCCCUUUAAGUAACGUAAUAUUAACUUCCUGUUUGUUGAUUUGUCUUAUGAGGCGAUAGACUUUUCACUGUUAGAAUCACUCUGCUUGACUAUGUUUGCAUGUUCCAGACAGAUUGUCAGUCUGUGUAUU